rnacentral:tRNA from 1 species
GCGCGGGUGGCGGAAUUGGCAGACGCGCCAGACUUAGGAUCUGGUGCCCGGGAGGGCGUGAGGGUUCGAGUCCCUCCCCGCGCACCA